rnacentral:rRNA from 1 species
GGGAAGAGCCCAAACCAAAAAGCUUGCUUGUUGGGGUUGUAGGACACUCUAUACGGAGUUACAAAGGACGACAUUAGACGAAUCAUCUGGAAAGAUGAAUCAAAGAAGGUAAUAAUCCUGUAGUCGAAAAUGUUGUCUCUCUUGAGUGGAUCCUGAGUACGACGGAGCACGUGAAAUUCCGUCGGAAUCUGGGAGGACCAUCUCCUAAGGCUAAAUACUCUCUAGUGACCGAUAGUGAACCAGUACCGUGAGGGAAAGGUGAAAAGCACCCCGGAAGGGGAGUGAAAUAGAACCUGAAACCGUGUGCUUACAAGUAGUCAGAGCCCGUUAAUGGGUGAUGGCGUGCCUUUUGUAGAAUGAACCGGCGAGUUACGAUUUGAUGCAAGGUUAAGCAGUAAAUGUGGAGCCGUAGCGAAAGCGAGUCUGAAUAGGGCGUUUAGUAUUUGGUCGUAGACCCGAAACCAGGUGAUCUACCCUUGGUCAGGUUGAAGUUCAGGUAACACUGAAUGGAGGACCGAACCGACUUACGUUGAAAAGUGAGCGGAUGAACUGAGGGUAGCGGAGAAAUUCCAAUCGAACCUGGAGAUAGCUGGUUCUCUCCGAAAUAGCUUUAGGGCUAGCCUCAAGUGAUGAUUAUUGGAGGUAGAGCACUGUUUGGACGAGGGGCCCCUCUCGGGUUACCGAAUUCAGACAAACUCCGAAUGCCAAUUAAUUUAACUUGGGAGUCAGAACAUGGGUGAUAAGGUCCGUGUUCGAAAGGGAAACAGCCCAGACCACCAGCUAAGGUCCCAAAAUAUAUGUUAAGUGGAAAAGGAUGUGGCGUUGCCCAGACAACUAGGAUGUUGGCUUAGAAGCAGCCAUCAUUUAAAGAGUGCGUAAUAGCUCACUAGUCGAGUGACACUGCGCCGAAAAUGUACCGGGGCUAAACAUAUUACCGAAGCUGUGGAUUGUCCUUUGGACAAUGGUAGGAGAGCGUUCUAAGGGCGUUGAAGCAUGAUCGUAAGGACAUGUGGAGCGCUUAGAAGUGAGAAUGCCGGUGUGAG